UGUCCAUCAUCUAUAAGCAACAAAUUGAAAUCCAAGCCAAAGGUUAUGUUUCUCGCACUCCUUCGACAACGGUACAAUGUUCCGCCGCUGCAUCGUAUCUCCAUCAUCGUUCAUCAAUUCAACGGCGUAGUGCAUGAUCCAUGCAUCACCGGCAACACAUCCGUUGCAACCGCUUCACGCUUAUGUAAUCGACGAUGAGUUUCGUCGUAGCUCCGUGUCUCAUUUUGGAAUUGACGGAUUCUGGCUCGCUCAUUCGAUGAUUAUAAAAGGUAGGAAUUGAAACAAAACGUGAAUCGCAGCAAGCUAGGAGACUCACCGUUUCGUCGCGGCAAAAAAACAGUUUGGAUCCGGGAUCGAUGAUCGGAGCGGCGAUAUCAAGAUGUGGUGGAGCCGAAGUUGACCUUCUUGCGAUUCCGUUACGGAGUAGUUUGGAUUCAGGUGUGUGAACGUAUGAAGCGAGAGAGAGGAUCCCAAGAAAAUCUCUGAGAAUUCGAGAGAGAAGAGGGAAUCUCAAGAGUGAAUCCUCCUCUAAAAAUUGUAACAAGGUUUUGCGUUGUGUGAUUGGCGUUUGCUGUUGUUACGUUCAGCUUUGCACCGUCGUUUUGGUCGCCUUUGGUUUCCGUUUGCGCAUCAUGUUGUUGUGGUCGUUGAUGCGUUGCAUUUUGUAGCUGCAUUUCCUUGUCGUCUUCGGUUUUGGUACUUGGCUUAUGCAACUUCUGUUUUUUCACUGCAGCUACAAUUGCAUUUGGGACUGUAAUCAGCAGCUUGCCUUUGUACGUACCUGGCUUGUUCUGCAGCUUUUGGCUUUUCAUUUCCAUGUUAUACUUUAGACAAAUGUGCCUAAGUAAAUUGGGAUGGGUUGAGAAUAUGGGUUAUGGACAAUGGAUUUUUUGAUGCUUGAAUUAUGAAAUUAGAUUUGGGUUAUGGUUAA